rnacentral:lncRNA from 1 species
UUUGAUGUCUUUUUCACCAAGCAUUCAUUAAAAGAGAGGCUUUUGGCAGAGAUCUGACUUCAUAUGCUUUAUGCAGCACUCUGCGUGUGGAAUGCAAAGACUAGUGUUGGAGGGAACGGGACAGCAAUAGUGGAAAGCCACAAUAGAAAACCUGAACUCAAGACAACAACAGUGGAAAGCCACAAUAGAAAACCUGAACUCAAGACAACAACAAUUGAAAGCCACAAUGCAAAGCCUGAACUCAGGACAGCAACAACGGAAAGCCACAAUGCAAUGCCUGAAGUCGACCAUUCUCAAGAUGUAGUCGCUCAAAGCAGUUUCACGAGCUUCAAGUUUGAC